ensembl:lncRNA
GGGAGGAGUAAAGAGGUGGUCAGAGAGGAAGAGGAGAGAGGGGAGGAGUAAAGAGGUGGUCAGAGAGGAAGAGGAGAGAGGGGAGGAGUAAAGAGGUGGUCAGAGAAGGAGAGGAGAGAGGGGAGGAGUAAGGUGGACAAGAAGACAGGGGAGGAGUAAAGUGGUGUUGGAAGAUGGGAGAAGAGUGAGUCAGAAGAGAGGAGAAAUGUGGAGGUGCCAAAAAGAGGGGAGGAGUAAGUGGAGGAAGAGAGGUGAGGAGUAAGUGUAGCACGAGUCGAUUGAUGAUUUGGGUAACUGUCUCUCUCCGUCACAGUGAGGAUGAGUCACUCUCUAUGCGCAUAACUGCACCAGCAUGCAUGUGUGUGAUCUGUGAGUUCUGUGUGUGGGUGUGUGUGAUCUGUGAGUUCUGUGUGUGGGUGUGUGUGAUCUGUGAGUUCUGUGUGUGGGUGUGUUUGAUCUGUGAGUUCUGUGUGUGGGUGUGUGUGAUCCAGGUCUAUGUAUGCAAAAUGUUAAGGUUAGCUUAAGGUAAGGGUUAUGAUUAGACUUAGGGGAUUUAGAUUUACAAUCGGUUGUCUGGUCCUUACAAGGGGACAGAACCCUUGUGUGUUUAGGGGUGUGAGUGCAGACUAAAUGUUAAAGGACACUAUUGAUUAACUGUUUUCAAUUUAAUGACCACGUAUAGAAGAACCAAUUACAGAUCAAUAAGUUAUUGAUAGAUCAUUUAUAGAUCUACGCUUAGCCUAAUCAAUGUGUAUAUGAUAUCAUCUGUACCAACCUCUGGACAUUACAAUUAUGUCCAUGUUUACUCAUGUUUCCUAACACGUCACGUGUUUAUAUGCUCUCCUGCAACUGGUCUAAACGCGUUCGUUCUAUUCUGUGCUACGGUGAGAAUCUGUUUACCGCACAGACUCAUUCAGCUGCACGCGCACGGUGCACGCUGCACGCACAUCAUCCCUGACACUUGUUAUAGCGCACGCUGCCUGCCCCCG